rnacentral:misc_RNA from 1 species
GCUUUUGUCGAGAACGCGUGUAAAUUCACUCCAAGUUCGUAGCCCGCGAGCGGAUUUCAACUUUUCAACUUUACUGCACUGAAGUUCUUUUUUGCCCUUGUUUUCAAAGUUUUUACUUUAGCGAUAAAUUUCAUCUGCGCUAUGAUUGGGACAGUUUUUAUGCUCUGCGUAUCGUUCGGUUUAACGAACUGUCAAGUUUUCGCCGAUAAGAAUAAGUUUUGCUACGCCAGUUACUCGGAGAGUCAAUUACGUCCAUCAAACACUCUCGGAAUGCAUCGGACAUCGCGGACCGAGAACCCCAUUUAUUCCCGAAGAGCAGUACCGGUCUCACGAGGUUCUUCAUGGUGGACCGACUUCCCCGUUCUGCCGUUGGUAUUCGCUAAUUCAAACACGAUUCCGAAGGGUCCUUGCAGGGAGCAGGUGCAACGGUACCUCAAGGGUCUUGCCAAUUCCACGCUGUGGGCCGUCCAGAUGUUCGACGCCUCAACGAAGUAUCCAAACGGCGUGCUCCACGGUCAAACCAAACAUUUGGGAAGCUUUGACCAAUGCUACAACUUGCGCGCUGUACUUCCACCGGAUGAAUUCUCUGACAUUGAAGAGCCUGACGAAGUCGAGGGUCGCUACUGUUUAGUUCGCUUGCGUUACCAGCGGAAAGAUGUGGUACCGAAACGCCCGCAAUCCUUCAACCUUGACUUCGAUCCAAACCUAUCCGUCUGGAACGCGAUUGAGUACAGGGGAGACUUUCGCCGUGUCAAACGACACUCUGUGUACCUGUCGCUUUGCGUUCCGGCUAGCUGCAGUUCUCAAGAUGUUACGACGGCGUUGACGGAGCCCUUGAAGGAGUUGGCGAACGCCCGACAGAUACACCUGGACGUUACAGUAAAGCCUUCGCUUUGCCAGGCACGUAGUGACGUCCCUGAGGAUUUUACCGUAGGGUUAAAGGUUUUUCUUUUCAUCGUUGUGGCAUUGUUUGUCCUUGUGGUAGCGAGUUCAUGGUACGACAGCAGCGUCUAUUCUCUGGAGAAAGCGGUCAAGGGCAACGAACCCAGAGACCUUUUCCUAUGCUUCUCCGCACGGCGUAACUUACGCUCGAUUUUUGACACUGGAAAUAUUCACCCUGGUCUCGAUUGCAUUCAUUUGAUCCGUUUUUUCUUAACGGCAUUCGCAAUAUUGGCUCACAGAUUGAUGCAGUACUAUGGCUACCCGCUCGUGGAAUCAACGUACCUCGAAAAGGCCUACACCGUACCCUUUUCCAUGAUAGUAUUCAACGGACCGAUCAUCGUUGACGGAUUCUUUGGUAUCGGCGGUCUUCUUUUGGCCUACGGUGUGCUCCAUGAACUUGAUCGGCGUAAGCGGUUGGAUUUUACCGCGCUUAUACUGAGCAGAUUUCUACGGUUGACUCCACUCUACAUGCUGGUCGUCUUAUUCAAUGCUACCCUGAUGCCAAUGAUGGGAUCCGGUCCAUACUGGGAAUCCAGGGUGGGUUUUGAAAGAGAUAAUUGCGUGAAAAACUGGUGGACUAAUCUCUUGUACAUCAACAACUAUGUGCGUCCCAAUGAGAUGUGUAUGUUUCAAUCCUGGUAUUUAUCCGUGGAUUAUCACCUUUACAUCAUGGGACUCUUUGUCUUGUGGGCUUAUUGGCAUCUUCCAAGAAGACUGGGCUACCCGUUUCUCUGUGGUUUGAUCGCACUGGGCACUGCCAUUCCCUUCGUCAUCACCUAUGUUCAGGACCAGCAGCCAAUAUUCCUGGGAUUGCCUUUCAUGGUGGAAGCUAGGAGAGAUCCAUAUUUCGUCGGUCACUAUGUUAAAUCACAUAUGAGAAUCGGUUCCUACAUGGUUGGCGUAUUGGCUGGGGCAAUUGUCUACGACCAUAAAAACGCCACGUGGAGACUCCCCAAGGCUUGGUCACGAGUUCUUUUUAUUUUACUGGCCGUCGGAUUCCCUAUCAUCAGCCAGGCUCUGGCCGCCAAGUAUUUCGACCCGAAUAGCGAGCUGCACCCACUUGAGACGGCGGCCUACGCUGGCUUCCACAGAACAGCGUAUGCUCUUGGAAUAUGUUCGAUCGUUGUUCUGAUCACAAUUGGCGAUGGUUUGGACUUUCAUUACAACUUUAUGACACCACGUUGGGUUCCGCCCCUUGCAAGACUCGCUUACGGUGCUUAUCUUCUCCACAAUAUUAAGCAAAUCUAUGACAUCGGUGCUACUAGAAGCCCCCGCGUAUUUUCCAUUAACAACUGCCUUUGGGAAUUUGUGUCAGACAUGGUCUAUACUUUCGGUAUAUCCCUGCUGCUGUCGGUGGUUGUCGAAGGGCCGAUACGAAAGAUCGUAAAGUUCAUACUCACGAAACGACCAAGCAAAUGUCCCGCUGAAGGAUCAAAUUCCUACGGCAUCAAAAAGAUCAACUGAAAAUGACCCGAACGAAAUUAUGCGAAUUGUCUCCUUGUACAUUGUAUAAUAUAUGCAUAGGUAAACUCGUAGUCCGAACAUCGACGUUGUAGUACGAAUACUUGUAUAUACCCUAGUUUGUGAUUUUGCAUCAUGUUAUUAUUAUAUAUACAAUCGUUCAUCUCGAUUACCAUAGGAUUCAUGUAUUAUACAAAUGACACAAUGACAUACAAUUCUAGUGCUAUAUCCUGUAAUACAUGCGUACCCACAGGAUUUGGAGUUACCUAGAACGAGGAUGUGAUAUAAAAUUUCAUAAGCAAGUAAGUCGAUCGUAGUAAGCCAACACCGAGAAGGAUGAGUUAUAUAUCAACUAAAAUAAAUUUGUGGUUUUUACUUAACUUGCGCGCGUGUAAUUACACACUGAUCGUAUUUAUAAUUGUUAUCAAAUACCAAACUGACGGAGUUUCUCUCCGUAAAUUUAUAAAAGUAGUAUGAGUAAAUUUCAGGAGAAGAAUAAAAACCGGAAGGAUACACCCGUAACCUGAAACAUGCAAACUCACCAACGUUGCUAACUAAUGAAGAAGUUACACGGAUAUUUCUGCUUCAUUCUGAAAAAAAAAAUAAUAAAAUUGAAUUUAUAGAACAAACGGAGUUAACAGGAUUCAAAAAUCAGGUAUAUCUGCGGAUAUUUAGUUCUUUAAUUUUUUACGCACUGAUGUCGAUUUCCACGCAUAUUCACCGUGAGGAUGCGAAUUCCAAAUUUUCCACAUUAAUGGAGGGUUUACCUUGAAAGAGUACCUACAAAAAGUCCUGACCGUAGAAGCCUGCCAUUUUUUUACAAUGUUUUUCCGAUAUAACAUUAAACAAUGUGUAUUACAUGACGUAGGAAUUUUUAUUUGAAUAAAAUUUAUCAAAUUCUUAUCACAGUUCACUUUUAAUCCAUUGAAAGAAAAUAGUACAUUACGCAACAAGGGAAUAAUCGACUUUUAUUCACGUACUGCAGGACCCUUAUAGAACUUUAUUUCCGACUCAACUCUGGCUACAUUAUUGACUUGAUUAGUGGGACAUUUUUUGCAGUAUUGUGCGUAGAAUUUUACUGCAAAUGGAUCAGUACCUACGCUGUUGUAUCGUACAGCACGCCUGCCAAGAAUUUAGGAAACCGUUUACCGUUUACGAAAACUUAUUUUUUCAACAAUCAACGUUUACCGUAUCAUGCUGAUUCUUCAUUAUCUCAUCGAUAAUUCCAAACUUAUUAUUCACGUAUUUUUUCACCUAGACCUCGACCGACGAUAGAAAAUCCCAUGCCUAGAGUGGCGCCUCUCCACUGGAAUGGCAAUAGUUUUUUGGGUUCAAGAAGAACUUUCACCUGAACUCCCAGGCUUUCUGACACGAGGAAACUUCGACCUGUUGAUCUCGGUUGACUGACCAGAAUGAAAUCGUUAUCUGCCGAACUUGACUGCAAUUAUCACCGUAACAGUAAUUAUGGAACUAAUGGUGAAUUGUAAAAAAAAUGUAUCGUCUCAGAAUUUGUACUUAUAUAGGAUUGAACGUGACGAUUCGUGCUUGUACUUUCGAAGCACUUAUUUUUCUUCUUCCUCCAGCUGGCUAUCUUCUGAUGGGAAUGCGGAUGUGCUAAAUCUUAAAACACUUCGUGAUACACCAUCAAUUAUUCCGUCAUGGUUAUUUUCAAAGUUCUUUCAUCACGUCUACGAAUAGCACCUCUGUACACUCUGGACAAGGCAGAAGCAAAAUGUUUGUCAAAAAGUUACGACCAUCGACAUAUAACGGCGAGAGACAUUGAGAAUUUGUUUAAAGCCAUUUCUGGACAUACCUGAGUGCGUGAAAAUUUAGGAACUACGUCUGGAUACUCUAGAACGGUUGGAAGCAAGACAUUGUGUACAUUUUUACGACUACCUGAAACUGUUGGAAUAAAAAAUUAAGACGACAAGUCAAGUAUUUUCAUAGUAGUUUCAUAGUGAAUUUAUUUAAAUCUACGGGUUCACAAUAUCGACAUGCUGAAUUCAUUAUAUGCUUAAUAUCUAAUGUGCUAAAUAUAAUAUAGGUUCUUAGUUAUUUAUUACAUUGAUUGAUGAGACAUAUUUCAAAAGUGUUUACCGAGGCUCAACGAUAUCAAGUCUGGUUUUCUAAUUUGAAAAACCGCGUCAGCUAAUGGUAUGAGUAUAAAAAAGAAAAACGAUAAAAAGGAGAAAAAACAACUAUCAAUACUACUGUUUCACGCAAAGUUGUGUUAGGCAAUUAACAGAAUCAUUUCUUACCGUCGAUAAAGAUUUAGAUAUAUGUAUAUUUAUAUUUCUAUGCAUAUGCAUACGCAUACGAGUAUAAUGGAUAGAUAUUUAUAUAAAUAUAAUCAUGAUAUAGCUCGUCAAGAUCUGUGUAUAAUUCUCUCGCCUACGCUCUACACAAUCAACAGUCAGCGAAUAGAUCAUAAUCCGUAGUAUCAUUACUCGUAAUAAUAUGAGAAUACCAAUUAUUCAUACAUACAGCAAUGAUCAGCCGUCUAGUGAGGAUUAUAUUAACAUCUUGCGUUCUGCCCUCCGCUAAGCGUUAGAUCAAGUCUCUGAAUAAUGCGUUA